GACGAACGCUGGCGGCGUGCUUAACACAUGCAAGUCGAACGGAAAGGCCCUGCUUUUGUGGGGUGCUCGAGUGGCGAACGGGUGAGUAACACGUGAGUAACCUGCCCUUGACUUUGGGAUAACUUCAGGAAACUGGGGCUAAUACCGGAUAGGAGCUCCUGCUGCAUGGUGGGGGUUGGAAAGUUUCGGCGGUUGGGGAUGGACUCGCGGCUUAUCAGCUUGUUGGUGGGGUAGUGGCUUACCAAGGCUUUGACGGGUAGCCGGCCUGAGAGGGUGACCGGCCACAUUGGGACUGAGAUACGGCCCAGACUCCUACGGGAGGCAGCAGUGGGGAAUAUUGCACAAUGGGCAGAAGCCUGAUGCAGCAACGCCGCGUGCGGGAUGACGGCCUUCGGGUUGUAAACCGCUUUCGCCUGUGACGAAGCGUGAGUGACGGUAAUGGGUAAGGAAGCACCGGCUAACUACGUG
rnacentral:rRNA from 1 species